rnacentral:antisense_RNA from 1 species
UGUGGGAGCGGGCUUGCUCGCGAUACAGGCGCUGCGGGUUUUCUGAAGCGGCGCGUUGAUGCAAUCGCGAGCAAGCCCGCUCCCACA